rnacentral:rRNA from 2 species
GCUUUGGGUCUUGCAUCGUUUUAAGUCCUUUGGAACAGGGCGUCAUGGAGGGUGAAAAUCCCGUGUCUUCGAUUGUCAAGAUUCGUGUAAAGCUCCUUCGAAGAGUCGAGUUGUUUGGGAAUGCAGCUCUAAGUGGGAGGUAAAUUUCUUCCAAAGCUAAAUAUCUGCUAGAGACCGAUAGCGCACAAGUAGAGUGAUCGAAAGAUGAAAAGCACUUUGAAAAGAGAGUUAAAAAGCACGUGAAAUUGUUGAAAGGGAAGCUCAUGCAGUCAGACAUGACUCAGAGGUUCAGCCUUAUGGUGUAUUCUUCUGGGUCAGGCUAGCAUCAGUUUGGACAGCCGGACAAAAGUUUCGGGAAUGUAGCU